CGCUGGUCCCAGACCUGCGGCUCCUACCCCGGCCGGCGCUGGCUGGAGGCUUUAGGUUCAUUCUUGUAAGUGUUGCUGGUGUCAGAAUAGGAACCUCCCUGCGCUUUGAAGGGAUGAAUGUGACCUCUCCCACAUUCUCCGGUGCUGUGAUGUACCUUAAACACAGCAAGGUACUUGGACACAAAGCCUGUGCCUGGAGCCCUUAUGCACUUUCAGACAGACAGUGCAUGGCCCUCGCUACAGACUCAGUGCCAUUGUAGAUGUUUCUGCAUGGAAAAUACAUAAACACAAAUAUCUGCAGUUGCCAAUCCACCACCAUCUUGCAGCCCCAAGAGAGCCCCGGGAAUCCAGGUUCCUUUGGUAUUUCUGCUCCCUGCCCUUGGUGCAUAGCCUCCAUCCCCAGGACGACAAGAGGGCUGACUGAGCCCUAACAUCAUCCCACAGUCCAGCUGGGAAGAGAGCCAGCGACAAAGCCAGAGGGAGCUAGCUCCCACACCUCCCAGCCCCAGCUGAGUUCGCUUCUUGAGGGUAUUUUCUGGAAGCCCCGCCUGUGACUUCUGCUGACACCUCACUGGCCAUCUCAACUGCAAGGCAGCCUAGGAAAUGUAGUGCUUACCUGUACACGUGGAUUCCUGGAAUCAAUUCAGGGACACCUGGCCUGGGUGGAGCCCACUCCUCAGCACCCACCUCACUUCUGGCAGUAUUCUGCAGACCCCAGCCCUGUGCCUGUGCUCCUGCACAGCUGGAGAUAAGGAGUGGGCCCUGGAAGAUGCUCAGUCAGGCCCUGCUCCAGAUUUUAGUUUCGCGGAUAAGCACCACUAUGUGUCUCUGCUCUUUUUGUUUUGCUGUAAAGACACAUUGAUAGGUUAAAAUUGUUGUUUGUGCACAACACGGAUCAUGUAGCGUCUUCACAUUAACCCCUAGUUACACUCUCUAAGUUGUCUAUUUUCUUCCCCCAAUAUU
rnacentral:lncRNA from 1 species